CGAUUCAUUUUUCUCGCGUCUCUCUCUCUCACCUUGUUCUCUUCGUCGGCGAUUUUCUGAGAGAUCGGCGUUGAGCUUCAGAAACCGGCGUAUACAUCAUCAAAUUAGGAGCUAAAGGCGAACCAAAGUUGAUUGCUCUCGGGAGAGAACGGUGUUGAGCUUCAGAAACCGACCUAAUCAGUGCUCGAGUCUAAUAAAAUCGGAGAGUUAGUCGAUUCCAUGCUCCAAUCGCUUUAUCACGGUACGAAUCUCUCUGUUUAGUUGUUACGGUGACUUUUGAUUAGGGUUAUUAGCUGUAAUCAAAAUUAGGGUUUGUCAAUUGAGAUUUGAUUUUCUAGAAAUUAGGGUUUUUGAUUUGUAAACGCAAUUUUGGGUAUAAUCAGUCUAUUAAUCUGUUAUUAGUCAUCUUCUAAGACGAUUGGUGCUAUAGAUGUAAUCUUAUGGAGUUUGGAAAUGGGAGCUUCGAGUAUACUUGUGUACGCUUAUGGAGUUACAAUAGAUGUAAUCAAUGUUAGGCAAUAUAAAGAGUGAAUUUUUUUUUGGGGUUUAUAUAUGUUUUAUGCUCUGCAAAGUUCUUGUCUUUGCUACAUGGGUUUGUUUGUGAUUUGAUUUUGCAUACAUUUACUUGUUCAUUAAGUAACUAAAUCUGCAGAAUUGAUUCAAUCUCUGUUGUUGUUUGUUACUGUUGUCUAACUGGAUUUUUCUUUCUUAGUUCUUUGUGAUAGGUCAUGAUUGUGCACAUAAUGAAGUGGAUGAUGUAAAGACUGACCUAAUGUAAAGAUAAAGAAAGCACUCUGUCCUCCAAAAAUUGUGCAAGUGAGUUCUUCCUCUUUUUCUAUUACUUCCUGAGAUGCUGUGUGAUUAAUGCAUUUAGAUACAUCAUUUUUUUUAUUUUCUGCUGUGUGAUUAAUGCAUCUUUGAUACAAAACGAUUAUGACUUGUUUAUUUUCUGCUGUGUGAUUAAUGUGGUUAGAGCUAAUUUUGAGUUCUUGAAGAAACUUGGAGUUGAUUGGUGGUGUUUUCAUGAUUAAUGUAGUUCCGUCUUUAAUUGAAUGCAUUGUGAUAAAUGAUUAUGACUUGUUUAGAUUAGGUUAAAGUCUGAGUUCAGUUUAAUAGGUAAAGAGUUCAGUUUUUAAUUGAAAGCAUUGUGAUAAAUGAUUAUGACUUGUUUAGAUUAGGUUAAAGUCUGAGAAGUCUAAAUCAUACUUAUUAGUAUGUCAUUGAUUGCUUCUCUUUGAUUGCAUAUAUUUGAUUGAUUGCUCUGUGAUUUGAUUAGGCUAGAUAAAAGUUAAUAAUGUUAUUGAUUGCUCUUUGUGAUCAAUGCUUUAACCUAACAUCCAACCAUAACUUCAGUCGUUUUAAACACUGAAGCUCUUUUUUACACUAACUACUGAAGCUAUUUAUUUCCCUCACUUGUCUUCUAAAAACAGUGAACCUUAAACACAAACCAGAAAAAACUUAAUCUCUUUCCCUCACUUGUCUUGUUAAAAACACAAACCAGAACCUUCAUUGCUUGAUAUGGAUUCAAGGAAUACAUAUACCAAUCCUUCAAGCUUUGUAAACCUCUUAAGCAGUCAAGAAGAUAAUCCCAUGUUUCCACCAAAUCAGUAUGAUGGCUUUAGCUUUAGUGCACCUUGGAUUGAUCCCAGCCAAGCUGAAGUGCCUGUUGCAGACCGCAAAACAAGACGCAAAUGGUCACCAACAGAUGAUGUGAUUCUCAUUAGUGCCUGGCUCAACACCUCCAAGGAUCAUGUUGUCUCCAAUGAGCAAAAAGCCACAACUUUCUGGCAACGCAUAGCCGAGUACGUUGCAGCAAGUCCCAAGCUGAAAGGUCUGCAAAAGAGAGCUCCAUUAUGCUGUAAACAGAGGUGGGCAAAGAUAAAUGAGGGGGUCUGCAAGUUUGUAGGAAGCUAUGAGGCUGCAACCAAACAGAAAACCAGUGGCCAAAAUGAGAAUGAUGUGGUGACCUUGGCUCACCAGAUUUUCUACAAUGAUCACAAGGCCAAGUUCACCCUUGAGCAUGCUUGGAGGGAGCUUCGCCAUGAUCAGAAGUGGUGCGGAUCGUCAACAAGUAAAGACAGUGGGUCAGCAAAGAGAAAAAGGGCUGAGGUCGGCUCUGCACAGGCCUCAUCCUCUAUGCCAGUCAACACUGAAGAGGAGGAGCCUCGUCCCAUUGGUGUUAAGGCAGCCAAAGCCAAAGCCAAAGGAAAGACAACCACUGUGAUUGGAGAAGAAGACAAGAGUCUGAAGGAGCUACAUUGUAUCUGGGAGAUUAAGGAGAAAGAUUUAGUUUUCAAAGAGAAGCUAAUCAAAGAGAAGGAGAAGCUUAGUAGGACUAAACUGCUUGACACUUUGAUGCUAAAAACAGAGCCUCUAACUGACAUAGAGAUGACUCUUAAGAACAAGCUCAUAAUGGAUAUGUUGUCCUAAGCUUAAGUUUGUUUUUAUUUUCUGAUUAAGCUAAGUAUGUUUUAUUUUCUGUUUUAAGUUUAACUAUGUCUUUAGUUUCUGUUUGAAGUAUGUCUGAAUGUGUUUUGCUAUUAAUGAAAUGAUUUCUGUUUAAGCUAAGUAUGCUUGUCUUCAACUGAAACAAAACUAACAUGAAUGUUAACUUAAACUGAAUGUUAACUUAAACUGAAUGAUAACUAACUUGAAUGUUAACUUGCAGGACGUGGAAGAACAAGCUCAUAACUGUUUUAAGAUUAAUGAAUGAAGUUUGUGGUUCUGUUUUAAGUGUAAGUAUGUUCUAUUAAUGUUUUCUUAAAGUUUCUGAAUGUUUUGUGCUUCUGUUUUAUGUUUCUGGUUUGUGUAUGAUGCAGGUGAGCCGACAUCACUUGUGUAAGAGACACAUGUGACACCAAUGCUUUUGUGCUUUAGUGCCGACUUCACUUGUGUCUUUUGUAUUUGUGUGUCGACAUCUCUUAAUACAGUCGUGCUCUCUUUUGUGUUUUUAUGUCGACAUCUCUUAAUACACUCGUGACUCUCUUUUGUAAUUUGGUUUGAAUGUAUUUUUUUUUUUAUUCUUCAAGUUAUGUUCUUUAGUUUCUCUAUAUAUACAAAACGAACACUUCUCUUCGUCUUCUCCAAAACAAUAUUCUCCUUAUUCUUCUCCAAAACAAUCUUCUCC
rnacentral:lncRNA from 1 species